GGCUCUGUAGCUCAGUCGGUAGAGCAGGGGACUGAAAAUCCCUGUGUCCCUGGUUCGAUUCCGGGUGGAGCCACCA
rnacentral:tRNA from 1 species